rnacentral:lncRNA from 1 species
CUGCGUUGUGCUCCGCAGGCGGCAGCGGAGAAUUGCGGUGCUCCUGGGCGGUGUAAGAACUGCACGGAGACCUGUGGCUCCUCAUGAAGUCAGCUUGAAGCAGAAACUUGGAUUUCCUGGAAUGUCUCGGAACCCUCCUUGUCUGUCUGGUAACUGGUUGCCCAUCCAGGAAUAGACAAACGCUGUCGUCAUGGUUCCAGCCCCACGCUCUCCUAGUGCCGACUGCGCUGGCGACUCGGAGUGCAGCUCUGAAGAUGCACCGAGACCCUGCAGAUCCAGACCCUACUCGGACACCGACUGGACGGCUGAAAGAAGGUAGGCCCUCGGAGCGCCGCACGCCGGGACCGGCACGGAGCGGCUCUGGGACGGGUGCGCUCGAGCCCGUGGAUCGUGCCCACAGCUGCACUCAGUGGCAGCGGAGAACUGCGGUGCUCCUGUUUGGUGCCGGAACUGCACGGAGAUCUGUGGCUCUCC